AUUGCAGAAAAAACUUGCAAACUUUGAUAAAGAGACAACCCAGAUGUCGGUUUACACUGAGCUGAUGCAGACAGAAAAAAAUGCUCUCAUCGGUAUACUCUCAGAGAUGGUAAUGAAACGAGAAGUCAUGGAAAAUCAAUGGAAGCAGAAGGUUGAAAUGGAAAAACAAAAUUCUAAUAACCAGAGGGAAGAGCUGAAGCAAGACAGGGAGGACCUGGAUAGACUUAAUGAGAUGAUGAAUAAAGAGAGGCAGGAAUUGGAGCUGAUGAGGUCUAAUAUUCUGAAACAAAUGGACUUGUUAGAGCAAGAGAAGCAAGACAUAAAAGAGGGAAAAGAAAAGUUGGAAAUUAUAAA